UGAGAUGUGGCUCAGUGGUAUAGCAUUUGUCUGGCAUGCAUGAAGCCCUAAGUUUGAUCCCUAGCACUGCAA
rnacentral:tRNA from 1 species